AGCUCGGAGAAGAACACAUGAGAAAGAAUCUCCAGAUUAACACAUUGACUGCAAGCAAGACUAGGAAUAUAGGAAAACAGAAACAUGAAGAGGCCAUUCAAGGAGGAUCCUUUUAUUAUAAACCGACCGGAUUUUCAAUUCAGUAAAAGUGUGGAGAACAG